rnacentral:rRNA from 1 species
UACAGGGGGUGCAAGCGUUAUUCGGAAUCACUGGGCGUAAAGAGCGCGUAGGCUGUUUGAUAAGUCAGAUGUGAAAUCCCUGGACCCAAUCCAGGAACUGCAUCUGAUACUGUUAAACUUGAGUAUGGGAGAGGAGAGCGGAAUUCCAGGUGUAGAGGUGAAAUUCGUAGAUAUCUGGAGGAACAACAGAAGCGAAGGCGGCUCUCUGGACCAUUACUGACGCUGAGGCGCGAAAGCGUGGGGAGCAAACAGG